UUUAGCUUCAUGAGAACCUGGGUUUAGGUUUCUCCUUCCACAGAGAUGGAGGAGGUUCAAAGCAAGGGUCAACGUGGGGAGACAGCAGAGGAGAUAGAAGCUUGGGGACCAAGACUGAGCUAUUUUAUGACUAAAGCUCGAAGAUUCUGCCCUUCCUAACCCUUUGUUUGAAGCCAUUUUUGGAGCUAGAGAAAAAAUAGGAAGAAUAUCUAAUUUUGUGAAUCUCAUUUUCAAAUUCAAAUCUCCAAUGUUCCCCGAGGCAGCAGACUGCACAGACAACUCAGAGAUGAAAACUUAAUAAAAGGCCCAGAAAGAUCAUAGAUCAUACUGGCCCAUCAGUUGUCACAGGAUUCUAUAAGAUGGCACCGGGCAUCAUGGGAUCUUGUUAGACCUGCUUUGUCUGAACCAUGCUGUCAUUGGAAAUGUAAUCACCUCCAGGAGUCAGCGAGCACUGCCUCAUUAAUUCUGGCCCAGAUGUGAUGUCAGAAAAGCUGGCAAUGUUCAGAACACCAUUGGCACAGGCACCAAGAUCAACAAUCAGUAAGUGGGACCUCAUGGAACUGAAAAGCAAAAAGUAUCUGCUUUCAGGCUAUGGGAUGGUUUUGAUUUAAAAUAUGAAUCUGAGCUGUCCUCACUGAGAACUAGGUUUGAAGACCGGGCAGAGGGAGAGCAAGUAUUCCAGGUAGAAAGUGAGGCAGCGUGAAGGCCCCAAGGUGAGAACACGCCUCAGCCAUGACGGGAACAGCAAUGGGGACAAGAACACGGUGCAGAGAACCCUUGGAUUCACAUACCCACAAGGCCGACCUUGCUGGCCAACUGAGUGAACCUGUACUCUCCGAGCUUCAAUAAUGAGUGUGAACUCUAUCAAGGAACUUUCAACUAAUAAACUCAGCUCACACACCUAGAAUGGCUUUAUCUCUAGGCCUUCUGUUGCCAUUUGACUUGAGAGAGGGAAUCCGGUGUACAGGCCUCUGUCAAUAACGCUUCAAUCUACUGCCUGUUUUUCAGUUAAGCAUAAAAAUCACCACAAAGCCCAAUCUCUGCCCUACAGUCCUCAUGCCUCUUUGACCUCUCUGCUCUGUAUUUCCAUUUCUGUCUCUUACCUAUCUCCCGCUACAAGUCAAGCCAGAA